rnacentral:tRNA from 1 species
GCCGUGGCUCAGUGGGCAGAGCAUCUGCUUGGCAUGUGGAAGAUCAUAGGUUCGAUCCCUGGCAUAGGAUUCG